rnacentral:rRNA from 1 species
UGGCGGACGGGUGAGUAAUGUCGGGGAAACUGCCCGAUGGAGGGGGAUAACUACUGGAAACGGUAGCUAAUACCGCAUAACGUCGCAAGACCAAAGAGGGGGACCUUCGGGCCUCUUGCCAUCGGAUGUGCCCAGAUGGGAUUAGCUAGUAGGUGGGGUAACGGCUCACCUAGGCGACGAUCCCUAGCUGGUCUGAGGGGAUGACCAGCCACACUGGAACUGAGACACGGUCCAG